GGCUCGCGAACGCCGGGGUCGGGGCGCGCAGGCGCGGGGGUAGUGGUCCGGGGGCGCGGCUCUGGCCGGGGGUUAAACCUCCUUCCAGCCUCGGCCCCGAGAGGGUUUAACACCUGGAGUUCCCGCCUGCGAUUUCUCUCUUGCGGCCCUUUGGGAAAGGGAAUGGCAGAUUGACUCUGAACUUGGCAAAGGACUUAUAACGCUUUAGUAUUUAAAUGAAGGAGUGGGUCUGAAGAAGAAGACCGAGGAUCUGUAAAACAAUCUUAUUUAAGCCUUCAGCUACCAGAGGCUGUGACAUAAACCCCAGGAAUAGAUUGAGAAGUAAUAGGUAGUUUUGAGGGCUUUUAUUUAAAGAACAAAGAUAGGAAGUUUUGCCUUGCUGUGUUUAAAAAAGCGAGGGAAGCCCCCCACCCGUAAUAUUUAGAAACACCUGGAGCCGACAAUGUUCUGGCAGCGUCCUUAAAUAAACUAAAGAAGCUGUUCACUCUGCUAUAAUCUGACAAUCUUUGAAAAAUGUUUUUCAGAGGUGGAGGCGUCUUAAAAUUUAGACAUCAAGUGAGGACACAGAAAGAAAACACAGGCCUGUAACCCAGGAAGUGGAUUUCACCGGAAACUGAAUCUGCUGACACCUUGAACUUGGACUUCUCAGAUUCCAGAACUAAGGAGAGCCCAGGAAGCUAUAUUUAAAAACAAACAAACAAACAAAAUGAGAUGAGCGUGGCAUGCUCUUGACUUGCAGAACUACUGACUUAAAAAUAAUACCAGAGGAAUGGCCUGCUUGGAAAAUCCCCCAGUGAUGCUCUCACACAUUCAUCGUACCUUUCAUCCUUACUAUGCUCUUUAUCUGGAAGAUGUUCCAAACCAUUACCUCAUCCAAGACUCUCCCAGAUGAAGGAUUGGGCCUCAGAUGUCACAGAUAAGAGGUGGUAGGUCCCACACACAAAGCCGGACAACUGGUUCCAGACUCCAUACUCUUCACUCUGCAUUGCUGCCUAUUCCAGAACUCAGCAGUUAGUAGCUUCAAGAGCAAGUAGACUAUUCGCUAUCAUCCAGGUAUAAUAAUUUGUCGAUUGGAACUGUUUGGCCUCAAGAGGGCAAGCUUUGCAAAUUCAAUCCGGCUGAAUUGACAGAAAAAGUCCUGGAAUUCAAGACUAAUUUGCCUAGGAGUUUCCCUGAAGCAAAAGCCAUGAAGUCUCAGUCAGCAAUGUGUUGUCCGAUGUAUAUGGUUAUGGCAUUUUGAGUCAGUUAGAAUAUCAAGAGGGUUUCAAGAUUUGCUACAUAUUAAUUAAAUACGUGUUAGUGGUUGAAGGAUGAUCUGUCAACAAAACGACUUAGUCAAAAUUUCCAGACUCUGGCCCUUUGAAAACAAAACCGUGAAGCCAGACCCAGCAUAGUUGUCAUAAUUACAUAGAGAUACUCUGAAAAGCAAGAUACUGGGUCAAUCAUUUCCUUUUCCCAUCUCCCACCAAUUCUACAUUAACGUACUUAUUGAUUCCAUCUUAGGAAUUGUUCAGGUUAAAUAUGAAAUGUCAAUGCAACCAAUACUGUUUUUACUUUCAUUAGUGUGGUGGUCAAGUAAGUCUAAGUUAAACUUCAUUAACAAAAACCCUCAAGCUGCCAUGUCUUAACCUAGAACACGUUUAUUUUUUGCUCAUGUGGAAUCCUAUGUGGAUCUGGGCCAGGCUUUAGGCAGCUGCCCACCACAUGAUGAUUGGGAUCCAUGGUGCUUCCAUGUGGUGGUGUCAUCGCCGUAUAAACUUCUGCAUCUGAAAUCGCUACACCAGAGCAAGAGAAGACUGAACAGUCUUGCACCAGCUAUUAAACGCUUAACCCUGAAGUGACACACGUAUCUUCUGUUUACAGGGCAUUGGCACACUUCUUAAAUGAAAAAUGAUUUAAGGAAAUGGGAAGACCCAGCCUAUGGCAGACAAGAUUGACGCAGACCUCUCUCUAUAACAUUGUUCCCAUAUUUGAAAAACCGACUGUGGAUAAGAGAUUCACCGUACACAGUAUAGUUCCAAAGGCAAUAAUAUUCAUUUUUAUUCAGCAGACAUUUAUAAGAACCUUCUAUGUGCCAGUCACUGUCAAUGAUGUUGGAGAUACCAAAGUGAAUAAGAUAUCUCUCUACUUUCAAGGAGCAAACUGUAUUGAAACUCAAAUAGGUCAAAGCUUCAGGGAAGACAAUUUCAGUCUAACGCAAAAAUUCCCUAACAAUUAGAACUACCCACAAAUGUAACAGGGAAUCUGGGAGCUCUCGUCAGUUUAGCUGUGAUCUUCCAAGGGUAGAGUAUAGGAGAGGCAGAGUCCAAGGAAAUAGACUUAGUAGCAUAAUGGUAGACAUGAGUGAAUGAAAAAAAUGUCAUCAGGAUGCAUUCAUUAGGUCAUGGUCAGUACUGGGAAAAUAAGUGGGCACAGGAGCUAUGUAAGGAAAAACCCAGAAGGUAAGUCAGUAAUAAAGUUGGAAGUCAGCCAGAGGAAGAGCCUCAGCAGUUCAGAUAGUACAUUUUGAAAGUUAUUGGCAAAUAAUUUUGACCACCUCUGAAGCCUGUGGGAGAUGCAUUUUUGGUGGGGGGAAAAAAAGACCUGCAAAACCCUUGAAAAGGGAGCAGGCAAAUGCCAAAAUUAAUGGGCUAGUCAUAUUUAACAAAUAAAAAUACCAGUCACCAAGUUACGUUUGAAUUUCAGACAAACAACACGUAUAUUUUUAGUAUAAGUAUGUCCCAUGCAAUAUUUAAGACAUACUUACACCAUAAUUUUUUUCAUUGUUUAUCUGAAAUUCAUAGUUAACGGGGCAAACUGUAUUUUAUCUGGCAAUCCCAAACAAGUUAGCAUCAGUCAGGCUUGUGUAAAGGCGACCCAUUCGUAGGACUGAGUUAGAUUUAUUCAUUCAACAGGAUUAAUGGAUACCUAACAUUUGCCAGACACUCUGCUCAACAUUGGGAGUACAAGAGUGACCAAGACAGAUGUGACCUUGCUGUUCAAUAUAUUUACUGCCUAGUGGGAGAAUAAGACCAUUGUAUAUAAGUGCUGUGGUGGAGGAAACACGGAGUAUUAUGCGAGCACAUUGUAAGAAUAUCCAACUUAUUCCAGAGGGGUCAAAACAUCUUCCCUGAGCAUCUGACUAAAUCCGAAUCCGAAGCAUUUGUAGGAGUCAGUCAGAGGAAGGAGCAGGGUAAGUGCUACCGGUAGAGGAAAUAACAAAUGUAUGAGAUUGAACAGGAGGAUGCGAAUGGUUCACUGAGACUGGAGUUUGGAGUUACAAAAGACGAGUCUGAAGCAGGAACUAGAUUACGAAGGGCCUUGGAAGCAGGAAAUUUGGAUGCUAUCCUAAAGGAAAUGGGAAUCUCCAGAAAGCUCAACAAGCCAAAGAUAGAUAUGGAGGAGAUCAUGUGAUCAAAUUUGCAUAAAAGAUAUAAGUAGGUCAUCAGGGUAGUGACAUAGAACAUCCUUGAGUUCAGUGCCCUCUUACAAGACCAACUAACAACUAUCAUAGACAAGGCGCCAUUGUGAAAAUUCCAGAACCCAGGAUGAGGCUGAAGCACCCUUCUCUGCACUGCGGGGAUCAGGAAGGACCACAUUAGAUGGGUAAGAGGAAUGGCUACACUCCAACUGGAUAGUCCCUUUCCCCAGCUGGCACAAAGCUGCACUGAGAGGGCCCCUUGGGCCUGUGGAUUCUCCAGUGGGAAAAAGAGAGUCUACAGUGGACAUCCAGCUCCCCCAGCAUAGAGGGACACUACAUGGGAGGUCCACUGGAAUCUUUUUUCAGAGGGAUCACAGGAGCAUCUAAGGGACUUAACAAUUAGAGAUUAGAUUGGGAUGGAGAUGUGAAGGUGGGCCUUACAACAAUCACAAAGUUGAAAUAGUAUUACCAUAUGAUCCAGCAAUUUCACUUCUGUGUGUAUAUCUUAAGGAAAUGAAAUCACUCUUGAAAAGAUACCCACACUCUUAUGUUCACUGCAGCAUUAUUUGCAAUAGCCAAGACGUGGAAACAACGAUAAGUGUCUACUGAUGGACAAAUGGAUAAAGAAAAUGUGGGAAAUGUUAUAAAUAUACGUAUUAUUCAAUCAUUAGAAAAGAAGAAACUCCUGCCAUUUUCGACAACUUAGGUGCAUCUGGAGGACAUUAUGCUAGGUGAAAUGCCAGACAAAAAAAGACAAAUAUUAUAGGAUCCUAAUUGUAUAUGGAAUCUAAAACACUGAAUUCACAGAUAUAGGGAACAGAUUGUUGGUUGCCACAAGGGGUAGGUUGGCGGUGAGGGAGAAUUGAGUGAAGGAGGUAAAAAAAGGUCCAACCUUCCAGUUACAAGAUAAGUAAGUUCUGAGCAUGUAGUGCACAGCAUGAUGACUAUAGUUAGUACUACUGUAUUGUAUAUUUGAAAGUUACUAAGAGAGUAGACCUUAAAAGUUCUCACCACAAGAAAAAAAUACAUAACUGUGUAAGGUAACGGAUGUGUUAACUAUGGUUAUUGUGAUAAUCAUUUUGUACUAUAUACACAUAUCAAAUCAUACAUCGUACACCUCAAACUUAUAUAAUGUUAUGUUAUUGAUAUCUCAAUAAAAUGGAAAAAAGGGGUAGAUCUAAGCAGUGGGAGAACACAGAAGUGAUACGUUCUGGAAAUAUUUAGGAAGGCAAGUGAACAGGACAAGUGUCUGGAUGUAUGUGUUAACAGACAAUAAAGAAUCAAAUGUAGUUCUGUUUUUUUAGUUCUGUUUUUAAUUUUUCUCUUGGUGCCACUAGAUGGUUGAUAGUGUUGGUUCCAGAUGCUUUGAAGGGGAAUAUUAGUGGAAAAUGAUCUCAUUUUGAAUGAAAAACACACAGACUUUGAGGUCUUAUAACAAGAGAAGUUUCAUAUGCAAUUUUAUGUAUUUAUUGUCCUGGAGCUUAGGAGGAAGUUGUAUCCUUAAGGUACAGUUUUGGUAACGAACAACAUGGACAUAGCAAUUGAAUUCAGAGGAAAAAAUGCUCAAAGAAGUGGACAAAAUGAGACAGGCUUUAGGGCAGAGCCCUGUGGGACACUAACAAUUACAAUGGAGACUAAAUCAAGAGCCUUAAGAGUUAAUCACUUGUGUGACAGUUGAUUUUUUUUUUUAAUCUACCCAGACCUCAGUUUUAUCAUUUUUAAACUGGAGAAUAAAAUAUAGGAUCAUAACAGUGGCUAACACAGGUAGGUAGUCAAUAAAUCUAGCAUUAUGGUCUGUACGUAGCUCUUACCUUACGCCCACCUGCUUUAUGUACCAAGUUCAGUUUAUUUUACAGUGGUUCUGAACAUUUUGUUUUGAUUGAGCCCUUGUGAAAAUCUGAUGCAAGUGUACUCUCUCCUUCCAGAAAAAUGCAAAUGAAGAAUGCAAAUCAGAUAUUUGCAUGCAAUGUCAAGGGGCUCGUGGACCCCCAGAAUCCAUCCAUAAGUUCCAUCUUGAUAGCAUUAUCUGAAAGAGUGAGACAUCCAGAUUGCAUAUACACUAUUAUCACCUUGGUUCUGGGGCCCCAAGCUUAAAUCUGUUCCAGUUUCGCAGGCUGUAGCAGAGCCCAGGAGUUCUUACAUUUAAGACAGAAGUAGAUAUUCUAGUUCUCUGUGAACAUGUACAGGAUGAGAAUAGGUAACGUGUGAAAACAUUCCUCCAUUUAUUUUCCCAUGGCCCCGUUUGGCAACCAGACAAAGGACAUAUUGCCUUUUGAUCUUCCAGCACCAUCUAUGACAUCAGCCUCUCUGUGGUUUAGUACCAGUCCACUCUUCAUCCAUAAGUGAAAAAUCUGUUGGUUUUUCUCUUCCUUAU